UAUUUGGCUGCAGUUUGUGUUUACUUACUGUUUGUUCAGGGCCUUUCUGCACAAGGUGAAAGUGCUGCUCGGGCAUUAGUGCAGAUCAUCGCCAGGGAUCUGACACCAGGGCCAAGCCGCUCCACUAAUUACUAUUAUAUAUAAUGCUCAUUACUGUAGUAACAUCCAAAAUAAAACUAUAACGUUAUUUGUAAUUUAACUAGUGUUUCCCAGUUUUCUACCUCUCUGGUGUUUUCUGAACCCAUCCGUCCGUCUGUGUUAUUAAUUUUUUUUUUUAAGGUAAUUAAAUGACCACUUGGUCAUGUAGCAUGUUACAUUUAAAAAUAUUGUUGGAAUAUUGGCUAUCUGCUAAAAAUAAAAAAAUCUAAAGUACUGUGCUGUAUUUACCAAUUAGACUAAUAUUUCAUUAUGAACAAGGUUUAUUUCAUUGAUCAAAAUGUUCUGUGUUUGUUAUUAUGCAUUUUAGGACAGUGAGGCAGCAAAUGACAGACUAGUCCACUUUCUGAAGCUUGGAUUACCCCAGGAAAACAUCAGUAACAUUUUAGGUGUCACUCAUACAACUAUCGUUCGUCGGAUGAGAGAAUGUGUUUGGCCAGAGAGAGAAUCCAAUAAUUAACCCUGAGAUGGAAUAUUCAGACUCAAUGGCAGUUGAACAAGAUGGUGGAGAUGCUGACCAUGUUCACUUUGCAGUCAACGUGCCUGUAAUUCACAGGCCACAACUCACAAAUGAGCAAAUUGACCCACUGCAAGUGUCUGAUUCAUUUGGAGUAGAUGUAUACCUCAAGACUCUCACAUAUGUACAGACUUUGAUUGAAUAAAGGGAUAUUUGAAGGUUUAUUUCUGCUGCUCUAAUUUUGACAGCAAGGUUGUAAAUGUGUAUAUAUAGUUGUAUCUUAAGUAAAACUUGUGGAAACAACCUUUUAAGACAUGUAAAAUAAUUAAAUUUAUUUUAAAAUGUUA